rnacentral:rRNA from 1 species
AACGAACGCUGGCGGCAUGCCUAACACAUGCAAGUCGAACGAGACCUUCGGGUCUAGUGGCGCACGGGUGCGUAACGCGUGGGAAUCUGCCCUUGGGUUCGGGAUAACAGUUGGAAACGACUGCUAAUACCGAAUGAUGACUUCGGUCCAAAGAUUUAUCGCCCAGGGAUGAGCCCGCGUCGGAUUAGCUAGUUGGUGAG